GUAAAUACUAAUGUUCUCCUUUGUAUAUUUCCUUUAAUAGGUUUGAUAUUAAACUGCUCUCAGAAUUUUCCUCUUGCCUAGCAGAUCAGCAUUUGUAUUUUAGUCCAUUAAUGGGAAAAAUAGCUGAUAUUGUUCAUAGGAACUUGGAAACCACACAGGACUUAAGUUCCUUGUCUGUCUUGAUGGUCAACAUAUCUUCUUUAAUAUCACGACAUUUUCAACAACAACUGGUGAACAAAACAGAACUUCUUUUUGACACCAUAGAUUCUUCUGAGGUCAACGUUGCAAAAAGCAUAGCAAAGUUUCUUCGAAAUGUUAGAUAUCGUUAUCAACCACUAUUAGAAAGAUGUAAUAACGUAUUUUUAAGUAAUGUGGACCACCUUGAUUUGGAUUCCAUCAGUAAAAUACUUAGUGUAUACAAAUUUCUACAAUUUAAUAGUUUUGAAUUUAUUAUAAUGGCUAAAAAGAAGCUAACUGAAAUGAUUCCUCUGUGUAAUCAUCCUGCUAGCUUUGUAAAAUUGUUUGUAGCAUUGGGACCCAUUGCAGGACCUGAAGAAAAGAAACAGUAAGUUCAGUUUAAAAUGCAUUACUUUUUUUGUUGUGAAUACGUGGAGCCUUCAAGCUUAGGUCUCCUUGCAGCUCUGGAAGGUACAAAUAUCACCCUAUUAGGUUGUGGAAGGG
rnacentral:lncRNA from 1 species